rnacentral:rRNA from 1 species
UACGAAGGGGCUAGCGUUGCUCGGAAUUACUGGGCGUAAGGCGCGUAGGCGGCACUGUUAGUCAGGCGUGAAAAUUCCUGGGCUCAACCUGGGACUGCGCUUGAUACGGCAGAGCUAGAGGAUGGAAGAGGCUCGCGGAAUUCCCAGUGUAGAGGUAGAAAUUCGUAGAUAUUGGGAAGAACGACCGGUGGCGAAGGCGGCGAGCUGGUCCAUUACUGACGCUGAGGCGCGACGCGU